AUUGAACGCUGGCGGCAGGCCUAACACAUGCAAGUCGAACGAGUGGCGGACGGGUGAGUAAUGUCUGGGAAACUGCCUGAUGGAGGGGGAUAACUACGGGAAACGGUAGCUAAUACCGCAUACCAUCAGAUGUGCCCAGAUGGGAUUAGCUAGUUUGUGGGGUAAAGGCUCACCAAGGCGACGAUCCGUAGCGGGUCUGAGAGGAUGACCAGCCACACGGGAACUGAGACACGGUCCAGACUCCUACGGGAGGCAGCAGGGGGGAAUAUUGCACAAUGGGCGCAAGCCUGAUGCAGCCAUGCCGCGUGUAUGAAGAAGGCCUUCGGGUUGUAAAGUACUUUCAGCGGGGAGGCGUUACCCGCAGAAGAAGCACCGGCUAACUCCGUGCCAGCAGCCGCGGUAAUUC
rnacentral:rRNA from 1 species